GGCGCGUCGCCCCCCUCAGGCCACCAGAGCCCGGAUACCUCAGAAAUUCGGCUCUGGGUCUGUGGGGAGCGAAAUGCAA
rnacentral:pre_miRNA from 7 species